UCCCACACAGGAACAACUUCUUCAGUGAUGCUCAAUCACUUGGUUCUAUGUUUGUGGUUUGGUGUUUGGGGUAUUUCCUCACUGAUGAAUUACUCUCGAAGACUCUGAGGAAUUUGGGUUGCUCUUAUGACAAGUGUCAGUUUUUAAUGGAGCAGCCAACCAACUAAUGGUUGUGGGGGCGGCUAUUUAUAGCCUGGGAGCAUCCCGACAUGAUUUGACACUAAUGCCCUUAAAUAAUAUGACCGUUGGUGUGGAUAAGACCAAUGAUGUGGCGUGGCUAUCGAAACGGUCGGAACCCUCAACUGUGAGAGUCCUCAUGUCACUCGUAUUCCUCACUUGAGGCUUUUGGUAGGAUUAGGCUUGGGUUGAGCAUCAUGAGGAAAUUCAUUCCAAAGUGUAACUUCGACCCCCUUUAACAGUACGGUGUUCCUAUUACUCAAGUGUGAAGCAAAUAAAACAGAAAGAGUAAAUCUUCAUGCUUCAAAGUCUUCAAAAUGAUUUUCUUUAGGACACACCGAAUUCCUCAAUUUCAGUAUCUUCAUGAGGAAUAUCAAUUUCAUCGCAGAUUCUUCACGAUUCAAUUCUUCAACUUCAGACCAAUUUCUUCAACCGCAGAUAUACAUUUUUAGGGGUCGAUAUUCAUCAAAUAUCUCAAACUCCUCAGUGACUUAUAGAUCCUGUGUACACUCAUAAACACAUUAGAUACUUAACCUAUAAGUCUUCAAACCACCAAAAUCACUAAGGGGCACUAGAUACACUUACACCCCUCCGAUGAGAGGAGUGUUCAUGAUGACGAGGGCAACGAUUUCCCCCUCCGGGAGGGAAGUUUCCCCGACAGGAUCGUCCUGCCGGAGCUCUAGAUUGGUUCUGCUCAAGUUCCGCCUCGUGGCAGCGGCGAUUCCUCCUGAAAGCCUCCUCUUGAUUUUUUCUGGAACGAAACCCUUCUUGUAGCAAAAGAUGGGGGCCAGAGGGCCAAGUGGGAGCCCACAAGCCCCCUAGGCGCGGCCAGGGGGAGGCCGCGCCUAGCAGGCUUGUGGCUUCUUGCUGGCGCCCCUCUGGUACUUCUUCGGCCCAGUAUUUUUUAUAAAAUCCAAAAUAAAUCCUCGUUGAUUUUCACGGCUUUUGGAGUUGCGCAGAAUAGGUAUCUCAAACUUGCUCCCUUUUCAGGCCAGAAUUCCAGCUGCCGACAUUCUCCCUCUUCAUGUAAACCUCGCAAAAUAAGAAAGAAAAGGCAUAAGUAUUGUAUCGUGAAGUGUAAUAACAGACCAAAAAGCGAUAAAUAUCAACAUGAAAGCAUGAUGCAAAAUGGACGUAUCACACCGCUGGCACCGGCAGUGGUUCGAGCAAUCCCGCGGGUUGAUGAUGCUCGUGCUUAGCGUGCUGGAAGACGGUGCAUUGCUUGAUGUAGUCGUUGACAUCGCGGUUCACUCCUGUCCACAGAAACUGCUUUUUGAUGCGUUAAUAAGUUGUUGUGUUACCUAAAUGGUCUCCCACUAUGCUGUCGUCAAGGGUGCUGAUCAGCUUGGUGCACAUUGCUGUAUUGUUGCCUAUCCACAGCUUGUUGUGCUUGCGGAUGAGACCUUGGUGCAGCUCGAAUCCAGCAUCGUCUGGGCUUUGGAUGGCCAGGUGAGAUAUCUUCUCCUGUGCGUCCACGUCAGUGGCAUAAGAAUUGGCCACCUCUUGCACCCAGGCUAGCUGGCACAGGGAUAGUGCGCUCAAGUCCAGCAACGCACCCACCCGCGAUAGAGCGUCUGUUGCUCCAUUAUCGUUGCUGCGGUGAUACUAGAAUUUGAAAGUGAAGUCCCACGAGUUUGAACAUGGCCUUGCACUGCAGAUCCAUCUCCAGUUAUUGAUCGCCCAGGUUGCACACGCUCUUGUGAUCUGUGACAAUGGUGAACUGCCCCCGCUGUAGGCAAGCGCGCCAUUUUUCGACAUCCAUCAUGACGGCCAGGAACUCCUUCUCAUAAGCUGAUAACUUUUGGUUGCGAACGCCCAGUGCCUUGCUGAAGUAUGCCACUGGAUGGCCUUCCUGCACGAGAACGGCUUCAAUUCCCGUGUUGUAGGCAUCAGUCUUGAUGCUGAAAGGCUUGUCAAAGUUUGGUAAGGCUUGGACUGGUGCGCUGGCCAUGGCCCUCUUGAGUAGGUCGAACACAACUUGGGACUGAUUCAACCAUCCAAAGCCUUUCUUAGUCAGGAGAGCUAUUAUAGGCUUGGCGAUGAUGCCAUAGCGUGCCACAAAUUUGGGAUAGUAGCCGGUGAGAUCAAGAAAUCCUCGAAGCUCUCUUGCGUUUUAAGGUGUCGGCCACCACAGCAUUGCUUGAGUCUUCUCUGCGUCAGUUGCCACUCCCUCGCUUGAAAUGACAUGCCCGAGGUAGUCAAUGCUCUCGGUGGCGAAGGAGCACUUGGAGAAGGUGUUGACAGAGUAGCUCAAAAAAUGCGCGAAGGUGCUCUUCGUGAUCCUCCAAGGUCUCGCUGAAGACGAGGANCUCAAAAAAUGCGCGAAGGUGCUCUUCGUGAUCCUCCAAGGUCUCGCUGAAGACGAGGAUAUCGUCGAGGAAGUUGAUGACGAAGCGGCGGACAUGUUUGUAGAUGAUCUGAUUCAUCAGACAUUGGAAUGUUGCUGGAGCAUUUGUCAGGCCGAAGGGCAUGACACGAAACUGUAAGUGUACAUGGUGCAUCUUGAAGGUCGUCUUAUCUUCAUCGCCCGGGGGCAUGCAAAUCUGAUGGUAGCCGGCGCGCAAGUAGAGCUUGGAGAAGUACUUUGCGCUGGCCAGCUCGUCGAGUAAUUGAUCGCCGAUAGGUAGUGGAAUUCGGUUCUUGAUAGUGAGGUCAUUGAGACGGCGAUAGUCGACACAGAAUCUCCAUGAGCCAUAUGUCUUCUUGACCAAGAGCACGGGAGCCACAAAGGGACUCAUGAUGUGCUCGAUCACGCCUGACUCGAGCAUUUCCUGAACUUGGCGCUCGAUUUCAUCCUUCUGAAGUGGGGAAUACCGAUACGGCCUGGAGUUGGCUGGUUGGGCACCUUCAACCAAGGUGAUUGCGUGAUCAUACUGUGUGCAUGAUGGCAGAACUUUAGGAUCCUUGAACACGUCACUAUAUUCAGCAAGGACUUGCUUGAUGGCUGCUGGCAGCUUGUCUAGUGGCUCGGUUCGGCAUUGUUAUGUGUCAACCAAUGCCAUGUACCAAUUUCAUUCCCUGCCUGCCAUUUGUUGAACUGCUCCGGCUCAAGUGGUUUAGGCGCGUGCACAGCCUGCUUCUGCAUCCCUUGUAGCUUCACCGUUUUUCCCAUGUGUUCAAACGUGAGUGUCUUCUUGAGCCAGUGGCAGGUCAUGGGGCUGAACUGUUCAAGCCAGUCCNNNNN
rnacentral:lncRNA from 1 species